rnacentral:rRNA from 1 species
ACUUUUGACCCUUGAUCCCAAAAAGGCAAUGGUCACGUUUAUUCAUUUGAAUUCUAUUCAUUUGAAUUGGAGAAAAGUAUAAAAGGCGAGAACCGCAAGCAAAUAAACUAUAAAGAUCUUUU